rnacentral:rRNA from 1 species
GAUGAACGCUGGCGGCGUGCCUAAUACAUGCAAGUCGAGCGAACAGACGAGGAGCUUGCUCCUCUGACGUUAGCGGCGGACGGGUGAGUAACACGUGGAUAACCUACCUAUAAGACUGGGAUAACUUCGGGAAACCGGAGCUAAUACCGGAUAAUAUAUUGAACCGCAUGGUUCAAUAGUGAAAGACGGUUUUGCUGUCACUUAUAGAUGGAUCCGCGCCGCAUUAGCUAGUUGGUAAGGUAACGGCUUACCAAGGCAACGAUGCGUAGCCGACCUGAGAGGGUGAUCGGCCACACUGGAACUGAGACACGGUCCAGACUCCUACGGGAGGCAGCAGUAGGGAAUCUUCCGCAAUGGGCGAAAGUCUGACGGAGCAACGCCGCGUGAAUGAUGAAGGUCUUCGGAUCGUAAAACUCUGUUAUUAGGGAAGAACAAAUGUGUAAGUAACUAUGCACGUCUUGACGGUACCUAAUCAGAAAGCCACGGCUAACUACGUG